GACGAACGCUGGCGGCGUGCUUAACACAUGCAAGUCGAACGGAAAGGCCCUGCUUUUGUUGGGUGCUCGAGUGGCGAACGGGUGAGUAACACGUGAGUAACCUGCCCUUGACUUUGGGAUAACUUCAGGAAACUGGGGCUAAUACCGGAUAGGAGCUCCUGCUGCAUGGUGGGGGUUGGAGAGUUUCGGCGGUUGGGGAUGGACUCGCGGCUUAUCAGCUUGUUGGUGGGGUAGUGGCUUACCAAGGCUUUGACGGGUAGCCGGCCUGAGAGGGUGACCGGCCAAAUUGGGCCUGAGAUACGGCACAGACUCCUACGCGAGGCAGCAGUGGGGAAUAUUGCACAACGGGCGGAAGCCUGAUGCAGCAACGCCGCGUGCGGGAUGACGGCCUUCGGGUUGUAAACCGAUUUCGCCUGUGACGAAGAGUGAGUGACGGUAAUGGGUAAAGAAGCACCGGCUAACUACGUG
rnacentral:rRNA from 1 species